GACAGAGGAGGCAAGCGUUGUUCGGAAUCAUUGGGCUUAAAGGGCGUGUAGGCGGCGGCGCAAGUGUCGAGUGAAAUCCCAUCGCUCAACGAUGGAACGGCUCGGCAAACUGCGUCGCUUGAGGUCGGUAGAGGUGCUCGGAACUCUAGGUGGAGCGGUGAAAUGCGUAGAUAUCUAGAGGAACGCCUGAGGCGAAAGCGGGGCACUGGGCCGAUUCUGACGCUGAGACGCGAAAGCGUGGGGAGCAAAC
rnacentral:rRNA from 1 species